GCUGGGUGUGGUGGCGGGCGCCUGUAAUCCCAGCUACUCAGGAGGCUGAGGCAGAAGAAUCGCUUGAACCCGGGAGGCAGAGGCUGCAGUGAGCCGAGAUCGCACCACUGCACUCCAGCCUGGGUGACAGAGUGAGACUCCGUCUCAA
ensembl:misc_RNA Metazoa_SRP Metazoan signal recognition particle RNA